rnacentral:misc_RNA from 1 species
GUGGGUGGACAGGCUCCCUGCUUGUGCAGCGAACUGUUGAACGUACGCAUCUUCAUGUUAGUCUCAAUUGCUUUGAUUGCACAUUGGGCUGCCUUGGGUUUCUGUGUUGGUUACCUACUCGGAAGGAAUUUGUCCCUUAUCUUUGUAUCACAUUGCCGUGAACCCCUUUGGGGAUCCUCGGUGCUGUCAAUAGUUUGCAUAUUCCAUUCACACUCUACUACAAUGUAGUGGUGACCAUGGCCUAUGCAAAAAAAGACCCUAUUCGUAAUCAUGGAUGCUGAACACCGUAGUGGGUAAUUGGGUCACUACCCUUUUAGCCCAAGCAGAGCUUUUUAUGCUCGGCAUAGACGACAGCUGUGAUUGCGUUGACCUUCUCAACUUUGUUGGGGGAGGCUCAU